rnacentral:rRNA from 1 species
ACGAACGCUGGCGGCGCGCCUAACCCAUGCCAGUCGAACGAGCGAGAGAGAGCUUGCUUUCUCGAGCGAGUGGCGAACGGGUGAGUAACGCGUGAGGAACCUGCCUCAAAGAGGGGGACAACAGUUGGAAACGACUGCUAAUACCGCAUAAGCCCACGACCCGGCAUCGGGUAGAGGGAAAAGGAGCAAUCCGCUUUGAGAUGGCCUCGCGUCCGAUUAGCUAGUUGGUGAGGUAACGGCCCACCAAGGCGACGAUCGGUAGCCGGACUGAGAGGUUGAACGGCCACAUUGGGACUGAGACACGGCCCAGACUCCUACGGGAGGCAGCAGUGGGGAAUAAUGCACAAUGGGGGAAACCCUGAUGCAGCGACGCCGCGUGGAGGAAGAAGGUCUUCGGAUUGUAAACUCCUGUUGUUGAGGAAGAUAAUGACGGUACUCAACAAGGAAGUGACGGCUAACUACGUG